UACAUGUGGUUUGGUGGGAUGCCGUUGUUAUUCUCAUGAUCUGUAUCACACACACUUUACCUCUUGUAUUAUACUGUCAAGCUAAUUUUACCCAUCUCUCAUCCUUUCAGUGCUUCCUUUUAAUUUGCUUGUCAGGCUCCCGCAUGUCUUUGUAUCUUUCUUAGUCUCUCCUGAGUAGGACGUUACUAGAGCACAGUAGGAAAUUCACAUUUCAACUACUUUUCUCUACAUCGUUCCUUGCCCUUCCCUGCACCCAUCCGGCCUCUCUGGCAUGUUUCCUAGAUGAUACCUUCCUUCAUGAUGCAUUAAGGUUUAUUUUCCCUGAGUACAUCAGCUGCUGUUUGGAAUCUUUUUCACCUUUUUCUUCAAAAUGGAAAUGAUCUGGUGCUCUGUUACCUUGUUUCCCACAUGAUCGUGAAGGAGUAGGCAGAGGAACGGUGGCUGGAAUACGGAACUGGUUGGGGCUGAGCAGCAGUUGCCAUUUCUGCCUCCUCCUCGCACUGUGUUUGUCGCUGACCACCGGUGGGUUUUGACACGUCCAUUGGGCUGUCCUGAAAUGCACAUGACUUCUUGAGUGCUCUGUAUGAGAGAUGUAUUGCUGUUGCUGACCACCUCCCAGAGAGGGCCUGAAAACUAUUUGGGAGUCAUAACAGCAGCAUCAUUAGUCCCAGAGCCGGCAGCUUCCUGCAGAGGGGUGAAGGUGGCAAUCCUGUUAAACCACUGCAGCUGUGUGCUUGGGGAACACCAGACCCAGCUGAAGGUCCUGUUGGCUCCAGGUGAUGUUAGAAGAGCAGAUUUAAGGAUCCCUCAGCCAAGUGCACCUGUAAAGAUUGUAAGGUGUUCCUGAUGCUACAGCACUGCAGGCUGCUGAGGAUGCCAGUUUUCUAAGAAAAACUGGCUGAGGAAAUAUAACAUGCUGAAGGCGGUUACCUUUGUUCGAAGCCAACUGAGACAGCACCAGCCCUCAGUAAUUACAGCCAUACAGUUUCCAGGAGACUCCUCCUUCACCAGACCUGUCGUCUCAUGUCCCCAUUUGUAAUGCUGUUCAUUAUAUUCAACCUGCUGCCGUCACUCUGGAGCUUUCAAAAGAAACAUGCUCAUUUCACCAUGAUAUCAAAGACCAAGGCAGUAGCAGAAAGAGAAGAAGAGAAAAAGGAGACAAAAAGACAUUGAGCCAGUGUCACGAAACAGAGCUGGCACUUCGUCAUGGGCACAACACUGAUGCUGCUUGGCUUCUUACACGAUCUUCACAGAGCACAGGGUGCUCUUGUCCGCAGGAACUCAUGAUGAUUAGCUGACGUCAGUCGGAGAGAAUGAGCUAUGUCAAGUUCAGGAUCAGCUUGAUGAAAGCCACCAGUGCUCAGGUUCACUGAAUGACAUGGGCUGUUUGACACAGGCAGUGUCUUGGGCAGAAUUCUCAUUUUGAUGCCCCUAAAACAACGACAACAACCACCAAACAGAAAAGAGAGCAGUGAGAUGAAUAGCAACGUUGCAUCUGCUUGUAUUGUCCACACGGGCUGCUGCUGAGUCGGCAGGAAGGAAGAGGAUGGAAAACAAACGGCGGCGGAAGUGAAAAAGGGCGAGAAGUACCUCGAUGGAGCCUGAAGUAUCACAUUUGCUGUGCAGAAGUGCUGGAUCUAUGGCUUUUGAGUGCCCACAUGAACAGGUUCUGUUUUAUCUUUUUUGCCUGGUUUUCUAGAGGAAUAAGUUGGAUUCAGCCACGCUGGUGUCUCCAGGGCACUCACUAACUGCUGAAUGCGCUGUUGCGUCCCCCCCACAUUUGAUGAUGUGGGACAGAGCUUCAAAGAUACCAAGUUUCUUGGAGAACAGCUACAUAAAUACCACAUAACUGCUCACCUUUAACUGGACGUUGGAGAGAUGUUACACAUGGCCAAUGGGGAAAUCUUUGUUAAGAACCAGGAAAAACUCAAAGAGGAGACACAAAACUGUAGGCAUCCUGUCCAUACGCACACUAUACUUCCCAGCCUGUGCAUCACACAUCGAUCUCCUGUAUCCCUUGGGUUUCCCCGUGUGCUUUGCUGGUGCCUUGUAUUAGCAGAGCUAAUCUUAGCACUGUCUUUCUUGAUUCCAAUUGAAAACAGUUAGGAUUUGUAAGUACUUUGACUUGUUUUUUCUCCAAUACCAGCUGUCAGAAGCGCACAUAGGUCUCAUGAAACAGGUGCGGUUUUUGAACUGAUUUAAAUGAAGAAGGGAGAGACAUUUGGUAAAUAUUAAUUGGCAUGCACUCUGAGUAAGGACAGCAAACAGAAUGGGAAGAACAGGAGUUUGGGAGUGCCUCAUAAAUGGGAUUUAUUUUACUUCAUUUUAAUUUCUUUAUAUCUUUUUUUAUCACAAGAAAAGGGAAUGCAGAUAUCAUUUGAUCCUGUGGAGCCCUUCAUGAGGCUGUAUCCCUCUGACUCAUUAAGUGGAUGGGAGCAUUUGUUAACUAAUUGUGUGGCACCUCACAGUCAUUAUCUUUUUUUGUCAGUGCCAUUGUUUUUGCCCUUCUAUGUCUUCUAAUAUUUGAAAUAAGCAGUAAAAAUGUUAACACAGGAAAUAAUCGUGGAGAUCUUUUUUUCUCCAAGUAACAUACAUUGCACAGAGCUUACCUGAGAAGGAUUGAACUUGUAGUCUAUACAAGAGUCCCAGCCCAUUUUAAAUGCCACGUUGGUUUUAUGACAACUAGAUUAGAGUUUCCCAGUGUAUGGACCUACCUUACAAGAAAUACUUGUAGAUGAAGUUUAAAGGAUGGAGGUAAAGUAAGGAAAAUGUCUCUUUAUUCUCUGAUGAUGCUCAAGUCUGAAAGAAAUAUUAUUGUCUACAUGAACAAACAGAAAAAAUGGUUAUACUUUAUACUUAUUUAUAUGUAUUUUUAAUGUUUAUACUUAAAUUUAUACUACCUGGUACAUUAUUAUGCAUUUUUCAGCAUGAGUUCUGUUUAUUACUGCCUGAAAUAGGAACUUUGACAUUGGAAAGAAGAACUCUUUGUGUCCAGACAGCAAGAAGGAUGUGGAUUGCAUCAGCCUCUUUCCCCCUUGUGACUUUCCUUCGUUUGAGGACUAAAUCCUCUGGUAUUUGUGUGCGCAGAGUUUCACAAGGAACACUUCAACGCAACGACCCUGCUUUGGGGAGUGGGAGGAAUGGUGUGCUUUGAACAAGCGUCCUCGAGGCAGAGAACAACAGGAAGGCACAGUGCCGUGCAUCCUCCUUUCUUUAUGUAUGCAUAUGGAGUGCAAGCUAAUGGGGUCUGCAGAGGGAGAAGGUGCAGUGGAAUCAGGGAGCUCUGGAAGUUCAGCAAAAACAAUGACAGACGUGCAGCUUCCCUGUAUCUGCUCUGCAUAAUGGAGACUCUGGUUUCUACAGCACUUGGAUGCUCAGUCGUCCUGGGAUUUCGUGAAGGACAUGGAAAACAAGUGCAUUUGCUGUACCUACUUCCUGCUGAUAGUCUGGAAAUGGAGCAAAUCAGAGAGAAAUGUAGCUUUUUGGAUCAUUAAAAAUCCAUUUUCAUUAAAAGCCAAGGAUUGCAGUGACAUACUUAUUUAUACAUUCAUCCCCUGUCUGUCUCUGCCUUACAGAUAGAGUGAAAAGAGAGCCUUUUCAGAGCAGUUUUAAAGCCUAAAUGAAAGAAAAGCAUUCUAUUUACCUUGAAUUACUUACAUGGCAUACUUGUUUGGGGUUGUUUUUUUUCCACACUGUAUGGAACGGCAAUUACUCUGCAUUCUUUCUUUACCACCAGCUCCUUUUGUCCUAUGUAUCUAUAAUUUGUUUUUAUCUAUAUCUUCCACCUAUCUAUUUCCUCUUUGUGCUUAGAGUUGGUUGCAAAUUAUAUUUGUGAUGCAGGGAGCUUUCAGUCUGACUGCCUUGAUAUUAUUUUAUGCAACCGUGACUACCGUAAAAAUUGGCUUUACUGCCUCUUUUGUGUUAUUGAUUCAAGCCCAUUUCAGAAUUAACUUGUUUGGAAUGAUCUGGCAAUGUUGUGUGCCCCAGGUUC